AAUCCAUAGGUUAAUGAGGCGAACCGGGGGAACUGAAACAUCUAAGUACCCCGAGGAAAAGAAAUCAACCGAGAUUCCCCCAGUAGCGGCGAGCGAACGGGGAGGAGCCCAGAGCCUGAAUCAGCAUGUGUGUUAGUGGAAGCGUCUGGAAAGGCGCGCGAUACAGGGUGACAGCCCCGUACACAAAAGCGCAUGUGCUGUGAGCUCGAUGAGUAGGGCGGGACACGUGGUAUCCUGUCUGAAUAUGGGGGGACCAUCCUCCAAGGCUAAAUACUCCUGACUGACCGAUAGUGAACCAGUACCGUGAGGGAAAGGCGAAAAGAACCCCGGCGAGGGGAGUGAAAAAGAACCUGAAACCGUGUACGUACAAGCAGUGGGAGCCCCACCACCAAAGCAUUUGCUGUACCGCGUUGACGGAGCGAAGCGACGUCAAACCGAUAAAACAGCAGUGUAAAGUGAGCCGCAGGGCGCUUUGCGCGACAGCGCAAAGGCAGGCGGUUUCGCGUAGCGAAAGCGAAUGCUUUGGGGUGGGGUGACUGCGUACCUUUUGUAUAAUGGGUCAGCGACUUAUAUUCUGUAGCAAGGUUAACCGAAUAGGGGAGCCG
rnacentral:rRNA from 1 species